GAUAAACGCUGGCGGCGCACAUAAGACAUGCAAGUCGAACGGACUUAACUCAUUCUUUUAGAUUGAGAGCGGUUAGUGGCGGACUGGUGAGUAACACGUGAGCAACCUGCCUUGGAGUGGGGGACAACAGAGGGAAACUUCUGCUAAUACCGCAUAAUGUGCUUUGGGGGCAUCCCCGAGGUACCAAAGAUUUAUCGCUCUAAGAUGGGCUCGCGUCUGAUUAGAUAGUUGGUGGGGUAACGGCCUACCAAGUCGACGAUCAGUAGCCGGACUGAGAGGUUGAACGGCCACAUUGGGACUGAGAUACGGCCCAG
rnacentral:rRNA from 1 species